rnacentral:rRNA from 1 species
AUUGAACGCUGGCGGCAGGCCUAACACAUGCAAGUCGAGCGGAUGAAGGGAGCUUGCUCCUGGAUUCAGCGGCGGACGGGUGAGUAAUGCCUAGGAAUCUGCCUGGUAGUGGGGGAUAACGUCCGGAAACGGGCGCUAAUACCGCAUACGUCCUGAGGGAGAAAGUGGGGGAUCUUCGGACCUCACGCUAUCAGAUGAGCCUAGGUCGGAUUAGCUAGUUGGUGGGGUAAAGGCCUACCAAGGCGACGAUCCGUAACUGGUCUGAGAGGAUGAUCAGUCACAAGGGGAGAGAGGUGCGGCAUAGAGUAGGGGGGGAGGCAGCAGGGGAGAAUAGUGGUCGGGGGGAGAAAGGAGGAGACAGCAAGGCCGCGUGGGGGAAGAAUGUUUUGUGAUUGUAAGGCAUUGUGUGGGGGGGGGAAGGGCAGUAAGUUAAUGCCUUUCUGGGUUGACGGAACCAACAUAAAAAGCACCGGCUAACUGCGUGCCAGCAGCCGCAGUAAUAAUCGGAAGAGCACACGGCUGAAC